AUGGAUGUUAAGACUGCUUUCCUGAAUGGAGAGUUGGAUGAGGAAAUUUAUAUGGAACAACCAGAUGGGUUUGUAAUAGAUGGUCAGGAAGGGAAAGUGUGCAAGUUGCUGAAGUCUUUGUACGGACUGAAGCAAGCACCCAAACAGUGGCAUGAGAAGUUCGAAAGGACUUUAACAGCCGCAGGCUUUGUUGUAAACGAAGCUGACAAAUGUGUGUACUAUCGCCAUGGUGGGGGCGAGGGAAUUAUGCUUUGCUUGUAUAUUGAUGACAUACUGAUUUUCGGAACAAAUCUGAAUGUUAUUAAGGAGGUAAUGAUUUCCUAUCUCGUUGUUUUGAGAUGA
rnacentral:rRNA from 1 species